rnacentral:rRNA from 1 species
AUGGGAACGCGAAGAACCUUACCUACUCUUGACAUCCAGAGAACUUAGCAGAGAUGCUUUGGUGCCUUCGGGAACUCUGAGACAGGUGCUGCAUGGCUGUCGUCAGCUCGUGUUGUGAAAUGUUGGGUUAAGUCCCGCAACGAGCGCAACCCUUAUCCUUUGUUGCCAGCGGUUCGGCCGGGAACUCAAAGGAGACUGCCAGUGAUAAACUGGAGGAAGGUGGGGAUGACGUCAAGUCAUCAUGGCCUUACGAGUAGGGCUACACACGUGCUACAAUGGCGCAUACAAAGAGAAGCGACCUCGCGAGAGCAAGCGGACCUCAUAAAGUGCGUCGUAGUCCGGAUUGGAGUCUGCAACUCGACUCCAUGAAGUCGGAAUCGCUAGUAAUCGUAGAUCAGAAUGCUACGGUGAAUACGUUCCCGGGUCUUGUACACACCG